GGAACAAUAUCGGAUUGUCAAAGCAGCAAGUGUAUCUAUUGUCGCCAGAUCAAAAUAUGGCAGGUUUAUGAUACCGUCGACUGCAGCACAUAUUGCUCCUCUCAGAUUUUUGCCUUCUCUGCAUGAAAAAAAAGGAAAAAAUAAAAUAAAAUACAGAUUUGAAGUAAGAACAAAUUGCCUGCUUCUUGUAUCCUGACUCACUGAAGAAUCAUGAGGCUCAAUUAAAUGGACUUGAAUACUGGAGUAGUACCUUCUCUCAGAUAUGCCCCUGUUUCUUAAAGUCAUGUGGAGAGGCCCUUUGGAGUCCUGAAGUUUGGCAG